rnacentral:rRNA from 1 species
CCUACGGGGGGCAGCAGUGGGGAAUAUUGCACAAUGGGGGAAACCCUGAUGCAGCAACGCCGCGUGAGUGAUGACGGCCUUCGGGUUGUAAAGCUCUGUCUUCAGGGACGAUAAUGACGGUACCUGAGGAUGAAGCCACGGCUAACUACGUGCCAGCAGCCGCGGGCAUACGGAGGGUGCGAGCGUUGUCCGGAUUUACCGGGCGUAAAGGGAGCGUAGGCGGACUUUUAAGUGAGAUGUGAAAUACUCGGGCUCAACUUGAGUGCUGCAUUUCAAACUGGAAGUCUAGAGUGCAGGAGAGGGGAAUAGAAUUCCUAGUGGAGCGGUGAAAUGCGGAGAGAUUUGGAAGAACAACAGUGGCGAAGGCGAUUCUCUGGACUUUAACUGACGCUUAGGGUCGAAAGCGUGGGGAGCAAACAGGAUUAGAUACCCGGGUAGUC